UUUAUCCUUGCUUGAAUCUUUGCCUUAUUUUGAAAUAACUAGUCAAUUAAGUGUGAGUAUUGAGCAGUGGCGGGCGGUGCGUUCCACCCCUGGGCCUUCAGUGAUUUCCUAUUCAGUCCAAUCUAAUUUAAUACACCUUAAAAUACCAUCAAUAGGACAUCACAGCUGGAGAAACCUCUCUCUCUCACACACACACACACACACACACACACACACACACACACACACACACACACACACACACACACACACACACACACCAGUGGCUGGUCAAGACACAUAAUUUCCAGAGUCUUUAAAAUCAAACUCGCAUUCCCAGUUGAGAGUAGGAAGCUGACCACGGAUACCGUCAAAUCUCAGAAAUGAAAGACGGGUUUAAGAGAUGAGACAAUAAAAUAAAUAGGUAAAGCAAACACAUUAUUUGCAUUUGUUUUGGAGAAAAUUGUACCGCGAACAUGUUGGCGCAGCUGCACACACCACGUUAUACACAAUAUAAAUUGCAUAGAAACAGAACACAGAAUAAUUUCAUUUUGCCAUUUUAUUUCGUUACCAUUUAUUGAUUAUUAACAAAAUAAAAUGACAAAACAUUAAAAAAAUACUAAUAAAAUGUUUCUACUCACCAACAUAAAUGUCCAGCAUGAAUCUCCUCCUCCUGCUCAUUUGAAAAUAAAAUCCAUCCUUCUUUCUUUCCUCAGGAAAACCUCAAUGGCUCUGUACAGUUUAUCUGUGCGCUUCAGGUCAAUGAGUGGAUCCUUUUCUAUGGACAUGGAGGCUAAUGCUGAAAGACGUGUCUGCCCGGUCGUGUUUCUGGCGUACGUUUUAACGCGCUUUAAUGCUACCAAAUCCAUCUGAUGCGAGCAACAGGCGUUCCCAGCAGAAUAACCUGCAGCGGUUCUCUGAAGCUGUUAGCCAUGGGUACCGUUCAUAGUUGCUUGCCUGACAAUGACGAACAAAUCAUUUCCCCUGCUGGGACAAGCCAGCUAGCAUUGGAGUCGGACGACCUGUUCUCACAAGAUCCAUUUUUUCUUGAAAGGUCCAUCUUGAAAAUGGUGUGGCAAGUAAAUCUGCCACCAAGUCGGUCCCUUCUCCUCUUUCAGCCAUCAUGUGUUCAAAAACACACCGAUAGCUGCCUAUAGAUACAAAUCUCUGUGUUUAGUUUUGAUAUUUUGCUUCAUGCUGCUAGAAAAGUUCUAACUACUGCUUAUCCAAUCACAGGAUGCGUUCAUGUCAACUUUUGCGUGAGGCCAGCUAGCUGGCCCGGGCCAAGCUGACUCGUGAGCUGAUUGGCUAUCGCAACUAGAUCGUCUCUGUUCACUUACAGCGGACAGUGGGCUUCUCGAUUGAUUCUGAAGGCCUAGGGCAGACUUAAUCUGCCUGAAAACACAAGCUAGCUUAAAUCUGAUUGGAUAACACCCAGCCUUGGUAUUUUAACACUGGAAGCAGCGCAGCCAAGUGGGUAUAAUAGGAUAUAAAGAAAAUAGACCAGUAAACAUUUUUUUAUUUAAAAAUAAUUACCAAAGGAAAAAAAAUACAUUUACGCUUUUGAGUAUGUUUAGGCCAGCAGAGAAGGCUUUGCUGGCCCUGACUGCCCACCACUGGUAUUGAGUGGUACUGGACUUCUGUAAAAAUAAUUUUCAUAGGGAUGAAGAAAGUACUCUGUCUGUCCUAAAUAACAUAUUGAGCAUGAAAUUACGAAUUAUUGUGAAAUUACACGCACAGGAAGUGCUUUUAUUUUGUAGCAUUUGCUCAGUCGGCUCUCGAAGCUUCUCAGCAGACUGAGAAGAGGAGGGUCGGAGGUGCAUUAACCGUUGGAGAUCGCGCUUCUGUUCUGCACUUGACAGUCACUGCUUCUGCACCACUGAGCUAAAUAGACACUAAUUGGAACAAGUGGGAACAGGUGUGGAAUGGCCACAGGUGCAAUGGAGGUAUAAAAGGAACUGAGGAGAGAGUUCAAGAGAGCAGCAGACACCUGAGACAUGCAUGAGGUCUGAGAGUGAGAGACGCCCCUGGACGGUGACGUCUCUGGCAAGGACACGAACGCCUGACCACCCGGGAACGCAGAACGGCACCUGGAGCACCGUCCCGGGAUGUGGACAAGCAACCAAGUGUGGAGGAUAGUGAGUUGCCCUCUCCUCCCCCAUGUGAGUGGUGUGAUGUUGGUGCUGGUGCCUCUGCAUCUUGUUAGGGCCUUGGGCCGAGGAGGGCGCGGCGUGUCCAAGGAGCGGAGCUGUGCCAUGGGGCUGCAGAGAGACUGGCGGUGUGCGCAGCAGCCAGCGGGCGAGAGGACGACGCUGGAGCCAUAGUGGCAGCACAGACAGGUUGCUGCAGGAGGUCGACUUUGUGCCUGUCAGCCAAAGGACAAGGUGGGGCAGACUGGGUCCCAGCUACGUGGGUCAACAUGGGUCAGCUGGAGCCAAGAGGUGGCUCCUUGUAUUGGACACUGUCCCACCCCUGGUGCUGCACAGGAUGUUUUAGACUGUUUUUAGGACUGAUUUUAUGUUUUUACUUCUUCAGCCUCUAAAGGACUUGAACUUUUAGCAGUGUUUUGCUCCUCCAAAUAAAUGACUGGUUUAGUGUUAA